rnacentral:miRNA from 1 species
CAGUCCAGCUGGACGGGGACG